rnacentral:tRNA from 1 species
GUGAAUAUAGUUUAAAUAAAAUACUAGGUUGUGGUCCUAGAAAUAAUAGCUAAUAUCUAUUUAUUCACC